CACUCUUCCUCCAUUCUAUUCGUUAACCAGCUUUCCCCCAAAAAUUUCCCCCAAAUUCUAAAAUUCCGCCCUCUCUAAUUUCCAGCCCCCUCUAAAAUCCCUAACCCCAAUCUCUGUUCUCUCUGUUCUCUCCAGCAGCCUCCAUCAACCUUCGUGCAUCCUUCCUCUCUGUCUCCUUCUCUUGUGUUACAUUACAUCACCUUCUCCUUUCUUCUCCUUCCUCCCCCAAUCGCUUUCGUCAAACGUCAAAAACCAACAUAAGUGCUCGAUCAACCUCUAUUCUCCCCUGUUUUAUUUUUAUUCGUAGUUCUCUCAUUAUAAAUACAAAGCCUGGCUCUAUUCAAUCUUAUUAUUGCAUAAAACUUCCUCAACCUUAAUUAAUUAACCUCUGACAAUGGGAUCCAUGUCUAACUUUGACCAGCAGCAGGGCUCGAUCCCCAAGAGUUUGAGCUUUGAUCACCUCCUCGAUCUUCGAUUUCGUCGGUGAAAAGGGUGCCAUCGGUGUCGAAUCUGAGGUCGAGGUCAUCGAUGGGAUCGGAGAAGGGGAUGCCAAAGAAACCGGAUCCUAAGAUUGUUCGUGCUGCUACUGGUUACAUCCUUAAGGAUGUGCCUCACGUGACUGAUUAUAUCAAGGAUCUUGCUUUAUUUUUAAUUUUAAUUAAAAAUCUUUUUUUUUGGGUUUUGCCUUUGUUGGCGGUGGUGAGUUGAUGCCUGUUAACAAUUGCAAAUUAGAAGCUGUGGUAUUUGAUUUUUAACUUUGCUUAAAGUGGAGCUUUUAUCAUGUUCCAUUAAUCUUGGCUCUCGUAAUUUUGAGUGUGAUAGCAGAUAGCUUACACAAUAUUUCUAAUCACCCUUGGAACUUUUCCCCCCUCUUUUUAUUUUACUUAAUGAGUUUGGCUCAUCCAUUUGUUAUUUUCUUUUGAUAGACAUAUCCCAACCUGCUGCAAGACAAUCCUUCAUAUUCAGUGGUGAAGUAUGCACCCAUCUAAUUCAUCAUUCGAGGUUAGAGGAGGUACUCCCGUAGGGAGCAGCAGUAAGAUACGACAUUCUAAUGCAGACGACACUGAUAACAAGGAUGUCGACAACGACAAAGACGAUGACGAGGAGUGAGUAAGACUUGUAUUAAGACAUAUUAUGACUUUUGAAUUUUACCUAUAUGUAAUAUAUUUGUGAUUUUAUUACAUAGUGAAUGAAUAUUAUUUGAGCAUGCGAGAUGUAUUGUGAUUGUGAUUA